rnacentral:tRNA from 1 species
AAUAAGGUGUCAGAUAAAUGAGUUACUUUGAUAGAGUAAAAAAUGUAAGAUGACCCUUACCCUUAUUA